GGCAAAAUCCGAAGGGCGGGGCGGGACCACCCCCCCCCGCAACCCGCGUUGCGGGGGGAGCUGGCGCGGCGGCAGCCCGGCGGUGGAGGGCUGGGGGCCACAGCAGCAGCUCCCUGCCCCCCCCCCCCCCCCCCCCCCCCUUCCCGUCCCUCCCCUCCCCGCCCUUCCCCGCCCGGCGCGGUGCCCGCCCCCGCCGCGGCGGGAGGCUGGCGGCCGGAGGCGGCGGGAGCGGGGCGGGGGGGGUUAUGGAAGGGGGGGGGGGGAAAACCGAGGCUGGCAAGGUGAGUGUGCUCGGAUUGCCGGAGCGUCCGUCUCGACCCGGGCGUACCGAAGUGAAGCUGCCAUUUGUGAGCUGUGAGUGACGAGCGUCUUACGACAUCCCAUUGAUACCAACGGCAUGCAUGGCAUACUUAGAGGAAAAAUAAAAUCUGAAUCACUAUCACUAGAUCCUCAAACCUGUGACUGACUACCAGGUGUGUCUUUAAUUUUCUCACUGCCACUACUACCAGCUUCCUCUUGUUUCUUCAGCGAUGGUUACCCUGCAGAUGUGAGUGGCUGGCUGAGAGGGACGUGCUGCUGGGACAGGCAGCAACUGCCUGGGAAGGACUGAGGACAGGACCAUCUUCUCUAUUGAACACAGAAGUCUGGAGCCUUUGUCUCAGGAAGUCCCUCAGACUCUUACUGCUGCAAGAGCAUGCCAGGAGAAAGGGUCACUAUAGGCAUGCCUGUACCCCAUACUCAUGUCUGUCGAAGGAAGGAUGCUGGGACAGAAGAAUCCUGGUCUUUAUUCGAUCUGCUAUUUUAUUUCAUUUGUGUGCUGGAAUCAUCCCUGUCCUAUGGAAUCGUGAACAGAAGACUGGAAGUUAAAUGUAUUUUGUUACCUUUUGCAGUUUCUAAGAUCUUCUUCCCUGACAGGAAAAGAACUGGAUUUGAAGUGCUUGGGAUUACAUUCAAAAUGAAUUUGAUGGUUCAACUCAGCCUCUAAUGGAUUACAAUAUGAAUGUCAUCAACUUCAUAUUACAGUAAAAAGUGUGAUCUCCUUCCAAACUUAGAAGUCUGGAACUGAACAGAGUGGCUGAAGUCCAUCUUUUGAUCCCAGAAAGAAUGUAGAGAGGGAAUUAAUACCAAUCUUCAUUCAGAAGUGUCUAUUUGCUGAGUACCUGCUUUCUUGACAUGGGAAGACAUGAACCAAAAUCUGAAGAAACAUUUAAAAAUAUCAAAUUAGCCACAAGAUGCGAAUCAUAGUUUUAUAAUGCUGAAAUGAAAUGUUGAUAUGCGAGGUAUUAAAAAAAAAAAAAAUGUUUCUGCUGCUGGUUGUCCCUUUUUCUCUUUUUAUUUUCAGAUGCUUUUGGAAUCAUGCAUCUGUAACUAGAAUUGUGUGAAGCAUUGGUUAAACAGCAGCUGAAAAAAUAAAACUUUGAGAUAAUAACA